rnacentral:rRNA from 1 species
UCCAAGCAUGAUCUCCUCUAAUCUCGGAGACUAAGCAGGGUCGGGCCUGGUUAGUAUCGGAUGGAGGACCACUUGGGAACACCAGGUCUCACUUGGGG